UCCUCCAUAGCUCAGUGGUUAGAGCGUCCAACCGGCACCUGGAAGGUCAUGAGUUCGAUUCCCGUUGGGGAGCUCAGAA
rnacentral:tRNA from 1 species